rnacentral:rRNA from 1 species
CCUACGGGAGGCAGCAGUGGGGAAUAUUGCGCAAUGGGCGAAAGCCUGACGCAGCGACGCCGCGUGAGGGAUGAAGGUCUUCGGAUCGUAAACCUCUGUGAGCAGGGAAGAACGGUCACUGUGCUAAUCAGCAGUGAAUUGACGGUACCUGCAAAGGAAGCACCGGCUAACUCCGUGCCAGCAGCCGCGGUAAUACGGAGGGUGCGAGCGUUAAUCGGAAUUACUGGGCGUAAAGCGCUCGUAGGCGGUAUGUCAAGUCAAGGGUGAAAGCCCCGCGCUCAACGUGGGAACUGCCUUUGAAACUGGCAAACUGGAGUGUGUGAGAGGAUAGUGGAAUGCCAGGUGUAGGAGUGAAAUCCGUAGAUAUCUGGAGGAACAUCAGUGGCGAAGGCGACUAUCUGGCACAUAACUGACGCUGAGGAGCGAAAGCGUGGGUAGCAAACAGGAUUAGAUACCCUGGUAGUC